GUAGGGAAUAUUGGGCAAUGGAGGCAACUCUGACCCAGCCAUGCCGCGUGCAGGAUGACGGCCCUCUGGGUUGUAAACUGCUUUUAUACGGGAAGAAAAAAUACUACGUGUAGUAUACUGACGGUACCGUAAGAAUAAGGAUCGGCUAACUCCGUGCCAGCAGUCGCGGUAAUACGGAGGAUCCAAGCGUUGUCCGGAUUUAUUGGGUUUAAAGGGUGCGUAGGCGGAUCUUUAAGUCAGUGGUGAAAGCCUGCAGCUUAACUGUAGAAUUGCCAUUGAAACUGAAGAUCUUGAAUGUGGUUAAAGUAGGCGGAAUGUAUCAUGUAGCGGUGAAAUGCUUAGAUAUGAUACAGAACACCGAUAGCGAAGGCAGCUUGCUGAACCAUUAUUGACGCUGAGGCACGAAAGCGUGGGGAGCGAACAGGAUUAGAAACCCGGGUAGUCC
rnacentral:rRNA from 1 species